rfam:Schistosoma haematobium scaffold310_8, whole genome shotgun sequence.
AUCCGGUUGACGAGCCUCAAGUAGGGCGAAAUGCGCAUCCUGGAU